UACGUAGGGGGGCUAGCGUUGUCCGGAAUCAUUGGGCGUAAAGCGCGUGUAGGCGGUCCGGUAAGUCCGCUGUGAAAGUCGGGGGCUCAACCCUCGAAUGCCGGUGGAUACUGUCGGGCUAGAGUGCGGAAGAGGCGAGUGGAAUUCCUGGUGUAGCGGUGAAAUGCGCAGAUAUCAGGAGGAACACCGAUGGCGAAGGCAGGUCUCUGGGCCACUACUGACGCUGAGAAGCGAAAGCGUGGGGAGCGAACAGG
rnacentral:rRNA from 1 species